rnacentral:rRNA from 1 species
GUACACGCUGUGACUAGCAUAUCAAUAAGCGGAGGAAAAGAAACUAACAAGGAUUCCCCUAGUAACGGCGAGUGAAGCGGGAAGAGCUCAAAUUUGAAAUCUUAAAGGGUUUCCCUUUACGAAUUGUAGUUUAAAGAAGUGUUUUCUGUUGAGGUUUUGGUAAAAGUUCUUUGGAAUAGGACAUCAUAGAGGGUGAGAAUCCCGUAUUUGACCUUUACCUUCAACUUUGUGAUACACUUUCAAAGAGUCGGAUUGUUUGGGAAUGCAGUCCAAAAUGGGUGGUAAAUUUCAUCUAAAGCUAAAUAUUGGCGAGAGACCGAUAGCGAACAAGUACCGUGAGGGAAAGAUGAAAAGAACUUUGAAAGGAGAGUUAAACAGUACGUGAAAUUGUCAAAAGGGAAGCGUUUGACACCAGUGUUGUUUUUCUGAAAAUCAAUUAAAGAACUGUUUAUGCUAAGUUGUUUAGACUUUAUCAGCUAACUGUUUAGUUUUGAGCUUUUCUUUAACGCACUUUUCAGUUAACAAGUCAACAUCAAUUUCUUUUGCUGUAAAAAAGCUUGAGGAAGGUGGCUUGUAGAUUCGUCUUAAGUGUUUAUAGCCUCUUGCCUAUGCAGUCGGAGAGAUUGAGGUCUGCAGCGUAGAUCCUUCGGGGCUAAAUGCAUUUGUGCUAAGUUAUAGCAUUUUAUAGACAACUUGUUGACUAUGAUUUGUCUUGUAGCUUACUCGCUUAUGUUAUUUUACCUACGCUUAGGAUGUUGACAGCAGUAUAGACUG